rnacentral:rRNA from 1 species
UACGAAGGGGGCUAGCGUUGCUCGGAAUCACUGGGCGUAAAGGGCACGUAGGCGGGUGCUCAAGUCCGUGGGGAAAUCCUCCGGCUCAACCGGAGAACUGCCUCGGAUACUGGGCGUCUCGAGUGUGGUAGGGGUAUGCGGAACUAUCGGUGGAGCGGUGAAAUGCGUUGAUAUCGAUAGGAACUCCGGUGGCGAAGGCGGCAUACUGGACCACCACUGACGCUGAUGCGCGAAAGCCAGGGGAGCAAGCGGG